rnacentral:rRNA from 1 species
UACGGGGGGGGUAAGCGUUGUUCGGAAUUACUGGGCGUAAAGGGCUCGUAGGCGGCCAACUAAGUCAUACGUGAAAUCCCUCAGCUUAACUGGGGAACUGCGUGUGAUACUGGAUGGCUUGGAUUUGGGAGAGGGAUGCGGAAUUCCAGGUGUAGCGGUGAAAUGCGUAGAUAUCUGGAGGAACACCGGUGGCGAAGGCGGCAUCCUGGACCAAUAUUGACGCUGAGGAGCGAAAGUCAGGGGAGCAAACGGG